rnacentral:rRNA from 1 species
UAGGGAAUCUUCCGCAAUGGACGCAAGUCUGACGGAGCAACGCCGCGUGAGUGAAGAAGGAUUUCGGUUCGUAAAACUCUGUUGUUAGAGAAGAACAGCGCAUAGAGUAACUGUUAUGCGUGUGACGGUAUCUAACCAGAAAGCCACGGCUAACUACGUGCCAGCAGCCGCGGUAAUACGUAGGUGGCAAGCGUUGUCCGGAUUUAUUGGGCGUAAAGCGAGCGCAGGCGGUCAAUUAAGUCUGAUGUGAAAGCCCCCGGCUCAACCGGAGAGGGUCAUUGGAAACUGGUGGACUUGAGUGCAGAAGAGGAGAGUGGAAUUCCAUGUGUAGCGGUGAAAUGCGCAGAGAUAUGGAGGAACACCAGUGGCGAAGGCGACUUUCUGGUCUGUAACUGACGCUGAUGUGCGAAAGCGUGGGAAUCAAACAGG